rnacentral:rRNA from 1 species
UACGGGGGGGGCAAGCGUUGUUCGGAAUUACUGGGCGUAAAGGGCUCGUAGGUGGCCAACUAAGUCAGACGUGAAAUCCCUCAGCUUAACUGGGGAACUGCGUCUGAUACUGGAUGGCUUGAGUUUGGGAGAGGGAUGCGGAAUUCCAGGUGUAGCGGUGAAAUGCGUAGAUAUCUGGAGGAACACCCGUAGCGAAGGCGGCACUCUGGGCCGGAACUGACGCUGAGGAGCGAAAGCGUGGGGAGCGAACAGG